rnacentral:rRNA from 1 species
AGUGAACGCUGGCGGUAGGCCUAACACAUGCAAGUCGAACGGCAGCACAGUAAGAGCUUGCUCUUACGGGUGGUGAGUGGCGGACGGGUGAGGAAUACAUCGGAAUCUACUUUUUCGUGGGGGAUAACGUAGGGAAACUUACGCUAAUACCGCAUACGACCUACGGGUGAAAGCAGGGGAUCUUCGGACCUUGCGCGAUUGAAUGAGCCGAUGUCGGAUUAGCUAGUUGGCGGGGUAAAGGCCCACCAAGGCGACGAUCCGUAGCUGGUCUGAGAGGAUGAUCAGCUACACUGGAACUGAGACACGGUCCAGACUCCUACGGGAGGCAGCAGUGGGGAAUAUUGGACAAUGGGCGCAAGCCUGAUCCAGCCAUACCGCGUGGGUGAAGAAGGCCUUCGGGUUGUAAAGCCCUUUUGUUGGGAAAGAAAAGCAGCAGGUUAAUACCCCGCUGUUCUGACGGUACCCAAAGAAUAAGCACCGGCUAACUUCGUG